UGUAAUGCGACGACGGAGGGACAUUGCUGGAACGCGCCCCUGGCGCACCCAGAAACCCUUUGUGAACUUAUACCUUACUGUUGCCUCGGCGCAUGCUGGCCCCCUCGGGGGCCCCUCACUCCGGUGAGGAGCAGGCACGCCGGCGGCCAAGUUAACUCUUGUUUUUACACUGAAACUCUGAGAAAAAACACAAAUGAAUCAAAACUUUCAACAACGGAUCUCUUGGUUCUGGCAUCGAUGAAGAACGCAGCGAAAUGCGAUAAGUAAUGUGAAUUGCAGAAUUCAGUGAAUCAUCGAAUCUUUGAACGCACAUUGCGCCCUCUGGUAUUCCGGAGGGCAUGCCUGUUCGAGCGUCAUUUCAACCCUCAAGCAUUGCUUGGUGUUGGGGCACUGCUUUUUACCCAAAAGCAGGCCCUGAAAUCUAGUGGCGAGCUCGCCAGGACCCCGAGCGCAGUAGUUAAACCCUCGCUUUGGAAGGCCCUGGCGGUGCCCUGCCGUUAAACCCCCAACUUUUGAAAAUUUGACCUCGGAUCAGGUAGGAAUACCCGCUGAACUUAAGCAUAUCGUAAACGGAAGGAA
rnacentral:rRNA from 1 species